rnacentral:lncRNA from 1 species
GUGUUUUCUCCUUGGGUUUAGGUAAUCUGUUUAUGUUUAAUGAUUAUGCUUAAUAAUCUAAUCAUGUUUCAUAAUGCCUUUUGAAAAGGUUUCAGUCUGCAGUCUGCUGAUCCGAAAGAAAGAAGGCGGCUUUUGGAGGACAUAAUCAUUGCAAGUCGAGCUGCUGCUGAACCUCCCCUUCCAACAUCCAGCAGGUGAGGACGCUGUGCAUCUCAGCCCUCCCUCCCUGCACGGUAGCAGCGAUUCUAAUCAAACCUCUGAACUCCCAGGUUUGUUCUGCAGGCCCCGAUGAUGGCACAGGCAUGAAAGAGCCCAGAGCUCGUCGCUGGGGAGAGGCUGCGUAUGGCGUUGUGAAGGGAGAGAUGGAGGAGGGGUUUGAGCAGCGCUGUGCAAGAAUGAACGGCUGGUAAGAGAAGAGGUGUGUGUGCUGAGAGCAAGGGCUGUACGGCUCCUCUCUGUGUUCUCACAGCAAGUGCACGGCAGAGCUCCUUGCUCUCUGUUCUUUCUUGCAAGGCUGCGGCGCUUCAAAGUGCGCUGUGGGUGGGCAGCGCGAUGACAGCCCAAGGGUGGCAGCAGGAGAUGCAGCG